AAAGUCCGGAUCGUCGGUCUACCGAGCAAUUUUACCCGCUUGGUGGAAGAUCUUUUGUUAAACCU
rnacentral:pre_miRNA from 1 species